rnacentral:rRNA from 1 species
UACGUAGGGGGCAAGCGUUGUCCGGAUUUAUUGGGCGUAAAGAGCUCGUAGGUGGCGGGUCACGUCGGGUGUGAAAGCCCGGGGCUUAACUCCGGGUCUGCAUUCGAUACGGGUCUGCUGGGGUCCGGCGAGGGGAGACUGGAAUUCCUGGUGUAGCGGUGGAAAUGACGCAGAUAGUCAGGAGGGAACACCGGUGGCGAAGGCGGGUCUCUGGGGCCGGUACCGGACGCUGGAGGGAGCGAAAGCGUGGGGAGCGAACAGG